rnacentral:rRNA from 1 species
CCUGGCUUAGAUUGAACGCUGGCGGCGUGCUUAACACAUGCAAGUCGAACGCGAACGGGGCUUCGGCCCCAAGUAGAGUGGCGCACGGGUGAGUAACGCGUGGACAAUCUGCCCUUAUGACUGGAAUAACAGUUGGAAACGGCUGCUAAUACCGGAUACGCUCAGGAAGAACUUUUUGAGGAAAGGCGGCCUCUGCUUGCAAGCUGUCGCAUAAGGAUGAGUCCGCGUCCCAUUAGCUAGUUGGCGGGGUAACGGCCCACCAAGGCAACGAUGGGUAGCCGAUUUGAGAGGAUGAUCGGCCACACUGGGACUGAAACACGGCCCAGACUCCUACGGGAGGCAGCAGUGGGGAAUAUUGCGCAAUGGGCGAAAGCCUGACGCAGCGACGCCGCGUGAGGGAUGAAGGUUUUUCCGGGAUCGUAAACCUCUGUCAGAAGGGAAGAAACUGCCGUGCUCUAAUCAUCAUGGCAUUGACGGUACCUUCAAAGGAAGCACCGGCUAACUCCGUGCCAGCCGCAGC